rnacentral:pre_miRNA from 1 species
UCUCAUGGAUGAGCAAAGAAAGUGGUUUCCUGAGAUGGAAUUUAUUCUUGAUGAAGAUUCUGUGAA